GCUAGAGCGGAAUGUUGCACGGAUUUUAGAGCGGGGGUGGAGUUUGCGCUGGUGCGGAAGGCUCGGUACCGCAGCGGGGUUCUUAAAGGGUCUGCGUUUGGAGUGCGGAGAGACCGGGCUAGGGCUUCAGAGCUGUCAGCCUUUGGGAGAAGUCGAGCUUGCGGGUCUCAGGUUCAGCGGUGGAGGCCCCGGGUCCUGCGUUUUCCGGCACGGAAAGAAUUGGAAAGUACUUGAACAAUAAAGAAAAGAAAAUGACAAACUCCCCAGAGACAUUCAGUAUUGAUCAUGCAGUGCAAAAUGAAUUGGUUUGCAGCUUUACAUGAGCCAUGGCCCCACCACUUCAUUUCACAAAGAGGAAAUGACUCUGAAAGACUCUGAAAGCCACGGGUUAUAAAACAAGUCACUGAUGAAACUAAGGUCUUUUUUUUUUUUUUUUGAUGGUCUGCCUGUAGUAUUUUCAACCCUACUGUGUUGUGACCACAAGCGAGAGUAUGAAUGCCUUCUCAGUGAGUGCCCAGAAUAGAACUGAUUAUUAUGAAAACUAAGCAGCAGAAUUUUAAAAAUAAUAAUAAUUUCAAGUUUUUUGUCCUGUCUCCCACAUUUUUUUUAAUUAAGUAAUUCUUUAUACAGUUGUAAGGUGACAUCUUGAUGCCAUAUCAUACUUUGGAGAUUUAAAAAAAAAAAAAAUUGCAGGUGUACUUAUAUACUAGCACUCUGUAUCACUCAUUUCUGUAUAGUCAGUUGAAUAUUACUCUUUAAUGCCUAACAUCCCUUAUUUGUAAAACACCCAAACACUGAAAGUCAACCAUUCUAUGUCACUAUUUUCCUUUGCAACUGUAUUUUCAUUCUAUACAGAAUUUGAUCCUGAUGUAACUUACAGUUUUGAAGAGGUGACCUUCCAUUAUAAAUACAUAACAAUAAAAUAUCUCUUACCACUACAUAACAUAAAAUGUAUUAAAUUGUAAUUUCAAGGAAUUUCUUGGGAUCAGAACAUUAAUUUUUCUUUUUGAUUAAGUUGUCUUACAAUUACAAAGGUAAUGAAACAAUAUGAGUAGAUCUUUUUUAAAUUUAACUUUAUUUUUUUAUAAUUUAUUCACUUUACAUCCCAAUUGUAGUCCGCUCCCUCAUCUCCGCCCUGUCCCAUUCUCCCUCCUCCUACCCCCUUAUCCCCUCUUAUUUCUCUGACCCCAGCCUGUCAAGUUUCCUUAGGACUGUUUGCAUCCUCUUCCUCUGUGGCCUGGCAAUGGCCCCCCAUCAGAGGGAAGUGAUCAAAGAAUGGACAACAGAGUCCAUGUCAGAGACAGCCCCUGCUCCCCUUACUAGGGAACUCACAUGAAGAGUGAGCUGCCUAUGGGCUACAUCUGAGAGGGGUCUAGGUCCUUCUCAUACAUGGUCCUUGGCAGGUCCCCAUGGGCCGAGAUUUGUUGACUCUGUUGGUCUUCUGGAGGUCCUACCUGCUUUGGGCCCUUCUAUUCCCCACUCUUUCCUAUGACUCCCUGCGCUCUGCCCAAAGUUUGGCUGUGAGUUGCAUGUGCUUUGAUCCCCUGUUGGGUGGAGUCUGUCAGAGGACAUUUCUGUUAGGCUCCCAUCUUCAACCACUUCCAGUGUUUAUUCUGUUUGCCCUUCUGAAUAAGAAUUAAGCAUCCUCCCUAGGGUCCUCAUUAUUUAGCUUUUUAGGUCUGUGGAUUGUAGUAUAGUUAUCCUGAACUUCAUGGCUAAAACCGCUUAUAAGUGAGUAUAUUCCAUGUGCAUCUUUCUGGUUCUAGGUUACCUCACUUAGGAUGAUCUUUUCUAGUUCCAUCCAUUUGCCUGCAAAUUUCAUGAUUUCCUUGUUUUUAAUAGUAUUUAAUAGUGAAUAGUAUUCCGUUGUGUAAAUGUACCACAACUUCUGUAUCCAUUUUUCAGUUGAGGGACAUCUAGGUUGUUUCCAGACUCUGGUUAUUAUGAAUAGAGUGGCUGUGAACAUAGUUGAGCAAAUGUAAUUGUUGUGUGGUGGAGCGGUUUUUUUUUUUUUUGUUUUUUUUUUUUGGUUAUAUGCCCAGGAGUGGCAUACCUCAGUAUUGAGGUGGCACUAGUCCCAACUUUCUGAGAAAGUGCCAGAUUGAUUUCCAAAUUGGUUAUACUAGUUCCCUUUCUCCACAUCCUCGCUAGCAUGUGCUAUCACUUGAAUGAGUAAAUCUUAAGAUAAAAAAAAAUCAGAAAAAGGGGGGAUAGGGGAGUGAGAGGAAGGAUAAAAAGACAGCUUUUAUAAAGAUGUAUGACAUGAAUAAGCCAUAUUUCCAUUAAUAAGAAACUGCUCAGUCAAUUAGGAAUAAUGCUUCCUCAAGAUCCAGCUAUACCACUCCUGGGCAUAUAUCCAAAAUAUGCUUAAGUACACAACAAGGACAUUUGUUCAACCAUGUUCAUAGCAGCUUUAUUUGUAAUAGCCAGAACCUGGAAACAACCCAGAUGUCCCUCAGCAGAGGAGUGGAUACAGAAAUUGUGGUACAUUUACACAAUGGAAUACUACUAAGCAAUUAAAAACAAGGAAAUCAUGAAAUUUGCAGGCAAAUGGUGGGACCUAGAAAAGAUCAUCCUGAGUGAGGUAUCCCAGAAGCAGAAAGACACACAUGGUAUAUACUAACUUAUAAGUGGAUACUAGACCUAUAAGAUACGAUAAACAUACUAAAAUCUGUACACCUAAAGAAGCUAAACAAGAAGGUAAGAUGAUCAGUCUUUACUUAGAAAGACAAAUUGGAUGGACAUUGGAAGUAGGAGAAAAUGAGAAGCAGAACAGGAGCCUUCCAUAGAGGGCCUCUGAAAGACUCUAGCAGUGUAUCAAAGCAGAUGCUGAGACUCAUGGCCAAACUUUGGGCAGAAUUCAUGAAAGAAGAGAGAGUUAGUAAGACCUAGAGAGGACAGGAGCUCUACAAGGACCAAAUAUAUCUGGGCACAGGAUCUUGUCUGAGACUGAUUCUCCAGCAAAGGACCAGGCCUGGAUAUAACCUAGAACCCUUACUCGGAUGUAGCCCAUGGCAGCUCAGUAUCCAAGUGGCUAGUAAAGGGAACAAGGACUGUCUCUGGCAUGACCUCUGUGGCUAGCUCUUUGACGACCCCAAUCCCUGUGGGAGGAGCAGCCUAGCUAGGCCACAGAGGAGGACACUGUAGCCAGUCCUGGUGAGACCUGAUAAGCUAGGGUCGGGAGGAAGGGGAGGAAGCCCUCCCCUAUCAGUGGACUUAGAGAGGGGCAGGGAGGAGAUGAGGGAGGGAGGGUGGGAUUGGGAGGAAAUGAGAGAGGGAGCUACAGCUGGGAUAUAAAGUAAAUAAACUGUAAUUAUUAUAAAAAAAAUUAAUUUAAAAAAUAAAACCACAAAAAAAAGGCCUGUGUGUGGAAAGCAGGACACAAAAUUACUUCUUAAGUGUGUAUUGUAUGAAUAUUAUAAAAAUGUCUUGUUUCAUUUUCAUAUUGUUUGUUUAACUGAAAUAAAAAUGGCCUUCUAUUUUAGUUAUUUAAAAUAAUAAUAAUAAAGAUAUUUAUCUCAAAAAUAAAA